CAGCCGUAAACUAAUGCGCGUUAGGUGUACUGGUGACCACGAGUCACCGGGGUGCCGAAGGGAAACCGUGAAACGUGCCGCCUGGGAAGUACGGUCGCAAGGCUGAAACUUAAAGGAAUUGGCGGGGGGAGCACCACAACAGGUGGAGCCUGCGGUUUAAUUGGACUCAACGCCGGGAAGCUCACCGGAUAGGACAGCAGAAUGAUUGCCGGGCUGAAGACCCUGCAUGACUAGCUGAGAGGUGGUGCAUGGCGUCAGUGACU
rnacentral:rRNA from 1 species